UGUGACCGCCUGGGGAGUCAGGGGCGGAAGUCGGGAUCUGACCCACUCCAGGUCCUGGACUGCGGAUAGAAGAGGACCGCCGCCGUGAGGGAGGGGUGGAAACUGGGUGCCGACUCCGCGCGCGACCUCCGGCCCUGCGCGUGCGCCGCUGGCGCGGCCCGGCUGACAGGUUCUUUAAUGGAGCAGCCAAUCUCUCUGCACACCUGAUUUCAUCUAAUAAUCUGCAGACACCAGCUCUGAGGCCAGUUAAUCAUCCCCAGUGUCCAGGCACAGAGUAGUCGGUCCUCCUCACAAUGUUGGACUUUCUAGCCGAGAACAACCUCUGUGGCCAAGCAAUCCUAAGGAUUGUUUCCUGUGGUAAUGCCAUCAUUGCUGAACUUUUGAGGCUCUCUGAGUUUAUUCCUGCUGUGUUCAGGUUAAAAGACAGAGUUGAUCAACAGAAAUAUGGAGAUAUCAUAUUUGAUUUCAGCUAUUUUAAGGGUCCGGAAUUAUGGGAAAGCAAACUGGAUGCUAAGCCAGAGCUACAGGAUUUAGAUGAAGAAUUUCGUGAAAACAACAUAGAAAUUGUGACCAGAUUUUAUUUAGCAUUUCAAAGUGUGCAUAAAUAUAUUGUAGACUUAAACAGAUAUCUAGAUGAUCUCAAUGAAGGGGUUUAUAUUCAGCAAACCUUAGAAACUGUGCUUCUCAAUGAAGAUGGAAAACAACUUCUAUGUGAAGCACUGUACUUAUAUGGAGUUAUGCUACUGGUCAUUGACCAAAAGAUUGAAGGAGAAGUCAGAGAGAGGAUGCUGGUUUCUUACUACCGAUACAGUGCUGCUCGAUCUUCUGCUGAUUCAAAUAUGGACGAUAUUUGUAAGCUGCUUCGAAGUACAGGUUAUUCUAGCCAACCAGGUGCCAAAAGACCACCCAACUAUCCCGAGAGCUAUUUCCAGAGAGUGCCUAUCAACGAAUCCUUCAUCAAUAUGGUCAUUGGUCGACUGAGAUCUGAUGAUAUUUACAACCAGGUCUCAGCGUAUCCUUUGCCGGAGCAUCGCAGCACAGCCCUGGCAAACCAAGCUGCCAUGCUGUACGUGAUUCUCUACUUUGAGCCUUCCAUCCUUCACACCCAUCAAGCAAAAAUGAGAGAGAUAGUGGAUAAAUACUUUCCAGAUAAUUGGGUAAUUAGUAUUUACAUGGGGAUCACAGUUAAUCUAGUGGAUGCUUGGGAACCUUACAAAGCUGCAAAAACUGCUUUAAAUAAUACCCUGGACCUUUCAAAUGUCAGAGAACAGGCAAGCAGAUAUGCUACUGUCAGUGAAAGAGUGCAUGCUCAAGUGCAGCAAUUUCUAAAAGAAGGUUAUUUAAGGGAGGAGAUGGUUCUGGACAAUAUCCCAAAGCUUCUGAACUCCCUGAGAGACUGCAAUGUUGCCAUCCGAUGGCUGAUGCUUCAUACAGCAGACUCAGCCUGUGACCCAAACAACAAACGCCUUCGUCAAAUCAAGGACCAGAUUCUAACAGAUUCUCGGUACAAUCCCAGGAUCCUCUUCCAGCUGCUAUUGGAUACUGCACAAUUUGAGUUUAUACUCAAAGAGAUGUUCAAGCAAAUGCUUUCAGAAAAGCAAACCAAAUGGGAGCAUUACAAGAAAGAGGGUUCAGAGCGGAUGACUGAGCUUGCUGAUGUCUUUUCAGGAGUGAAACCCCUAACCAGAGUGGAGAAAAAUGAAAACCUUCAAGCUUGGUUCAGAGAGAUCUCAAAACAAAUAUUGUCUUUAAAUUAUGAUGAUUCUACUGCUGCGGGCAGAAAAACUGUACAACUGAUACAAGCUUUGGAGGAGGUUCAAGAAUUCCACCAGCUGGAAUCCAAUCUGCAAGUAUGUCAGUUUCUUGCCGAUACUCGAAAGUUUCUUCAUCAGAUGAUCAGAACCAUUAACAUUAAAGAGGAGGUUCUGAUCACAAUGCAGAUCAUUGGGGACCUUUCUUUCGCUUGGCAGUUGAUUGACAGUUUCACAUCCAUCAUGCAAGAAAGCAUAAGGGUAAAUCCAUCCAUGGUUACUAAACUCAGAGCUACCUUCCUAAAGCUUGCCUCUGCCCUCGAUCUGCCCCUUCUUCGUAUUAAUCAGGCAAAUAGCCCCGAUCUGCUCAGCGUGUCGCAGUACUAUUCUGGAGAGUUGGUAUCCUAUGUGAGAAAAGUUUUGCAGAUCAUCCCAGAAAGCAUGUUUACAUCUCUUCUAAAGAUCAUAAAGCUUCAGACCCACGACAUUAUUGAAGUGCCUACGCGCCUGGACAAAGACAAGCUGAGGGACUAUGCUCAGCUGGGCCCACGAUACGAGGUUGCCAAGCUUACUCAUGCUAUCUCCAUUUUUACUGAAGGCAUCUUAAUGAUGAAAACGACUUUGGUUGGCAUCAUCAAGGUGGAUCCAAAGCAGUUGCUGGAAGAUGGAAUAAGGAAAGAGCUUGUGAAGCGCGUUGCCUUUGCCCUGCAUAGGGGACUGAUAUUCAACCCUCGAGCCAAGCCAAGUGAACUGAUGCCCAAGCUGAAAGAGUUGGGAGCGACCAUGGAUGGAUUCCAUCGUUCUUUUGAAUACAUACAGGACUAUGUCAACAUUUAUGGUCUGAAGAUUUGGCAGGAAGAAGUAUCUCGUAUUAUAAAUUACAACGUGGAGCAAGAGUGUAAUAACUUCCUAAGAACGAAGAUUCAAGAUUGGCAAAGCAUGUACCAGUCCACUCAUAUUCCCAUACCCAAGUUUACCCCUGUGGAUGAGUCUGUAACGUUUAUUGGUCGACUCUGCAGAGAAAUCCUGCGGAUCACAGACCCAAAAAUGACAUGUCACGUAGACCAGCUGAACACUUGGUAUGAUAUGAAAACUCAUCAGGAAGUGACCAGCAGCCGCCUCUUCUCAGAAAUCCAGACCACCUUGGGGACUUUUGGUCUAAAUGGCUUAGACAGGCUUCUGUGCUUUAUGAUUGUAAAAGAGUUACAGAAUUUCCUCAGUAUGUUUCAGAAAAUUAUCCUGAGAGACAGAACUGUUCAGGACACUUUAAAAACCCUCAUGAAUGCUGUCAGUCCCCUAAAAAGUAUUGUAGCAAAUUCAAAUAAAAUUUAUUUUUCCGCCAUUGCCAAAACACAGAAGAUUUGGACUGCGUAUCUCGAGGCUAUAAUGAAGGUUGGGCAGAUGCAGAUUCUGAGACAACAGAUUGCCAAUGAAUUAAAUUAUUCUUGUCGGUUUGAUUCUAAACAUCUGGCAGCUGCUCUGGAGAAUCUCAAUAAGGCUCUCCUAGCAGACAUUGAAGCCCACUAUCAGGACCCUUCACUUCCUUACCCCAAAGAAGAUAACACACUUUUAUAUGAAAUCACAGCCUAUCUGGAGGCAGCUGGCAUUCACAACCCACUAAAUAAGAUAUACAUAACAACAAAGCGCCUACCCUAUUUUCCAAUUGUAAACUUUCUAUUUUUGAUCGCUCAGUUGCCAAAACUUCAAUACAACAAAAAUCUGGGAAUGGUCUGCCGAAAACCAACCGACCCGGUUGAUUGGCCGCCCCUUGUCCUGGGACUGCUCACUCUACUGAAGCAGUUCCAUUCCCGGUACACCGAGCAGUUCCUGGCACUGAUCGGCCAGUUUAUCUGCUCCACGGUGGAGCAGUGUACAAGCCAGAAGAUACCUGAAAUUCCCGCAGAUGUUGUGGGUGCCCUUCUGUUCCUGGAGGAUUAUGUUCGGUACACAAAGCUACCCAGGAGGGUUGCUGAAGCACAUGUGCCUAAUUUCAUUUUUGAUGAGUUCAGAACAGUGCUAUAACUGUUUUUUCCUACUUCUUCAAUGGAAGGAUUGUCCUUAGAUCUUCCCACCAUCACUAAAAUGAAUUUGAAGAUGAAAAGAAACUCAGUUGCUCAUAUAACUGCAUUUUUUGCCGUCUAUUAUGGGAAACAUCAGACAUUCUGGGGCAGUCUACUCCAAUUAACCUCUGGAUUGGAAAAAAGAAAAAAAACGAAAAACCACCACAUUUACAAUAAAAGAAAAAUAAAUGCUAAAAAUAUCAGGUAAUGGAUGACCCUUUUCAUAAAUAUUAGUAAUUUCCCCAUCUUAAAGCUUCAAAAGUGGCUUAACUAAAUGAAAAUUUAUUGAAAUGUUUCCAUGUACAUGUUGAAAAUGACAUUAUUUAAAAUCUAAGUUUGCCCACUUCAUUUCACUUCAUUUCUGUUAAUAAUUUGUUACUAAAGUGGUUUCA